rnacentral:rRNA from 1 species
GAUGAACGCUGGCGGCGUGCCUAAUACAUGCAAGUCGAGCGAACGGACGAGAAGCUUGCUUCUCUGAUGUUAGCGGCGGACGGGUGAGUAACACGUGGAUAACCUACCUAUAAGACUGGGAUAACUUCGGGAAACCGGAGCUAAUACCGGAUAAUAUUUUGAACCGCAUGGUUCAAAAGUGAAAGACGGUCUUGCUGUCACUUAUAGAUGGAUCCGCGCUGCAUUAGCUAGUUGGUAAGGUAACGGCCUACCAAGGCAACGAUGCAUAGCUGACCUGAGAGGGUGAUCGGCCACACUGGAACUGAGACACGGUCCAGACUCCUACGGGAGGCAGCAGUAGGGAAUCUUCCGCAAUGGGCGAAAGCCUGACGGAGCAACGCCGCGUGAGUGAUGAAGGUCUUCGGAUCGUAAAACUCUGUUAUUAGGGAAGAACAUAUGUGUAAGUAACUGUGCACAUCUUGACGUUACCUAAUCAGAAAGCCACGGCUAACUACGUG